AAAUAAUGUGCAUGUAUACGCUUUGUGGUAACAAGUGGACGAUAAAUACGUGUCCUUAUUUUUUGUUCUACUUAGCAAUAACUUGCCCGCUAGUUGUCAUGCGCAUUGCACCUAACAACGCUAACAAUAAUGGCUGCUACUGUGUUGGUUGUCUGAACAAAGUCGCAAGAUACAUUUCAGGAGGACAAAAUGAGCAGCAGAAACAAGAAAGUUAGGGUGUGGGGCCGAUUCAGGCCAACCGCAAAUUUUGCUCAUGAAAAUAUUGAGCUGUUACCUGACAACAAGGGUGUCAAUGUGCACAUGCGACGAGACCCCAAGAAAGGUGUAGUCAAUAACCAAAUUUUGGACUGGUCUUUCAAGUUAGAUGGAAUUUUUAGCAAUGCUGAUCAAGACACAGUAUACAAUACCGUGGCCUCUGAUAUUGUUAGAGGAUCACUGGAUGGGUAUAACGGUACACUGAUGUGCUAUGGGCAGACAGGAGCUGGCAAGACAUUUACCAUUACAGGAGCAACUGAAAGUUAUCGCCACAGAGGCCUCAUCCCUCGUGCUAUUUCCCAGCUUUUCAAGCAAAUUGAGGAAAGACUGGAGUACAGUAUUACUGUUAGAGUGUCGUACAUGGAGAUCUACAAUGAAGGCAUGUUUGAUUUACUGAGCUCUUUGCCUGAAGCAACUUGGAACAACAACAGCAAAGACCCCUAUGCUACUCCAGAUCCCAUGGUUGUCACAGAAAACCAAGAUGGAGUAUUUGUCAAAGGUCUCUCGUGCCAUUUGGCCCAGAACGAGGAAGAAGCUUUGAAUCUUCUCUUUGAGGGUGAGACAAACAGGUCCAUUGCUGCUCAUCAACUGAACAAACAGUCCUCAAGAUCCCAUUGUAUCUUUACAGUCUACCUUGAGUCAAGAUCAAGGACUCAGUCCAAUGCCAAAUACACGGUGUCCAAGGUGAACUUUGUGGAUCUUGCUGGAUCUGAGAGGCUCAGCAAAUCAAAGUCGGAAGGAAAAACGAAAGAGGAGGCCAUGUACAUCAACAAAUCUUUGUCCUUCCUGGAGCAAGUUGUGAUAGCCCUGGCUUCUCGCACCCGUGACCAUGUUCCGUUCAGGCAGUCCAAGCUCACCCACUACCUGAAGGACUCCAUCGGAGGGAACUGCAACACGUUACUGGUUGCCAAUAUGUGGGGGGAGCCAGCCCAACUGGAAGAAACGGUGUCCACGUUGCGUUUUGCCACCAGGAUGAUGUGUGUGGCCAGCGAACCAGCCGUCAACGAAGUCUAUGAUCCUGCGUUGUUGGUGAAGAAACUCCAGAGAGAAAUUCAGCAUCUGAAGUCAGAGCUGGCAAUGCACGACACUUUGACAAACCGUAGCAUGGUGUGGUAUGACCCUCUGUCGGAGCAACAGAAGUAUGAGAUCCGAACUCAAGUCAAACGUUACCUGGAUGGAAGUCUUGAUGAAAUCGAUAUCGUGAACAUACGGCAAAUUGUUGGAACUUUUGAGUCCUUUAGAGAGUUGUAUCUGGACAUGGAGAAGGACAUGGAAGCCCGGCUGAAGGAGAAGUACAUGCUGAUUGACAAGAACGACCCAGCAUCCAUCGCGGCCGCCCAGCAGGACUUAACCUUGAUGCUAGAUGCCCAUGAGAACCCAGCGAGUGAGGCUGGUGUACCCAUUGCUGAUGAUGGUUCCCUCGUCGGUGAUCUGGAGGGUGGAAAUUUUGGACUGGGUACGGCGCCGAAAACAUCCAAGGCCGACUCCUCCGCUGUUGUCCAGCUGAAGAAGAAAGAGAGGGAGAGAGACAGAAAGCGUGGAUCACGGGGAGCCACGAGCCCUGUAGCUGGAAAAACAGCUUCCAGCCCAUCCCACAGUGCAAAGGGUGAGCGCAAGAUUGAGUCUCCGACAACACCUGGAGGCGAGAGGGCAGACAAACCGGAGAAAGAUCUGGAAGGUUCUGCUUCCCCUGUCAGCUCUGCCGGGAACCUGUCUCGUUCGGAGAAAGUCCAGAGACCCAGUAGAUUGGCAGAGGAUGCUGAAAGUGGAGUAGGUGAGGAGGGUGAGGAGCCUGCCGAGGAAGAGGAGGAACAUGCAGAUGGACCUCCGACUGACACUCCGCCAAGUAGAACUUCAGCCUUUGAAGAUUUUAAAGCUGAGAAGGGCAGUGAGAUCAACAGAGUACUCAUUGGAAACAAAGAGGAACUGGCUAAGAGGAAGAAAGCGUACUCUGAUCUGGCUAAGGACGUGAACAACAUCAAAGUUUCCAUUGACCAAACUAGGCAAAAGCUGGAACAGCUUAGACAAAUUAGGGAAGCUGAGGGCCCGAUCCUGAACGAGGAUGGUGACAUCAUCAUCAGUGAGGAGGAGUUCAUGGAAAUCCAGCGGCUGAAAGACCUCAAGAUCAGCUACCGCAGCAAGUAUGAUCAGCUGCAUAACGGCAAGUCGGAGGUUGUCUACUGUCAGAACAUGGUGGACCAAUGUCGGCUCAAGCUCAUACAAGAGUUUGACAACUGGUACAGCGAAAGUUUUCUCUCGGCAACUGAUGAGAGCCAGACAAGUCUCGGGGUCGGCAUCGGCGGUAGACCGGGAGUCAUUGUGCCCAUCACAAGCCUGGCGACGGAGGAUGAGCAGGAGAAGUUUGAGCGUCUACAGCUGGAACUGAUGAUGAACAACCCUGACUCAGCGGCUUUCUACAAUGCUCAGAUGAGGACCUCGAGAAGGAAAAUCUAUGGAUCUGCAAUGAGCCAAGCACAGCCAGCCUACAGACACCAGCCUGGAACCCCCACCAAGAAUGUCCUGAACAGACCACCAAACAUGCUGCAAGUCCAGUACUGAAUGACUGAAUGGCUUCUCUCAGUCAUGUACUGGUGGAUCCCCAGCCUUUGUUUACAAGAGUUUAAUGAAAUAAAUCAUAGUUAUGUAAUGGGAUCUGAAAAGUCAAAUUUAGAUGCUUCAUCUGAAUCACUCAGUCUCCAAAUGUUAAUGGAGCUCAAGAGUUGGAUUCUACCAAGUUCUGUUGAAGAAGAAAGAAGAAGAAAGUACA
rnacentral:misc_RNA from 1 species